rnacentral:rRNA from 1 species
GCUAAAUAGCUAGCCUAAACACAACUAUCAAACCUAAAAUAUUAAUAACCAAACUUCGCCAAAGUAUUAAAACAUUUUACCGCCCAAGUAUAGGUGAUAGAAAAGGUCCUUAGAGCUAUAGAAAAAGUACCGCAAGGGAAAGCUGAAAAAGAAAUGAAACAACCCAACAAAGCAAAAAGAAGCAGAGACCAACCCUCGUACCUUUUGCAUCAUGAUUUAGCAAGAAAGCCCAAGCAAAGAGAGCUUAAGUUUGACCCCCCGAAACCAGGGGAGCUACUUCGGAGCAGCCUAAAAGGGCAAACCCGUCUCUGUGGCAAAAGAGUGGGGAGACUCCCAAGUAGAGGUGACAAGCCUACCGAACCUGGUGAUAGCUGGUUGCCCGGGAAAUGAAUACAAGUUCAGCAUUAUAAAUUCCUAACCCUGCGCAUAAAAGAAGCAAGUAAAACAUAAUAGUUAGUCAAUAGAGGUACAGCUCUUUUGAAAAAGAAUACAACCUUAUUUAGGCGGGAAAGGAUCAAAAAUCCAAGGUACCUCCCCCAGUGGGCCUAAAAGCAGCCACCUGUGAAGAUAGCGUUAAAGCCCAAGCAGAAUCUAACCAACAAUACCAGUAAACCUAACCCAACCCCCUUUAAAUACCGAGCCCCCCUACAUAACCGUAGAGAAGAUAAUGCUAAAAUUAGUAAUAAGAAGGGGUACCCCUUCUCCCCGCACAAUCGUGAGUCAAACAGGACUAGCCACUGACAACUAACGGACCCAAAUAGAAGGAAUAACAACAACAUAAAUAAACAAGAAAGCCAUGCCCUAUCUACCGUCAACCCGACACAGGAGUGCGUAAAGGAAAGACUAAAAGGGUGAGAAGGAACUCGGCAAAACCAAACCCCGCCUGUUUACCAAAAACAUCGCCUCUUGCUAAUAAUGAAGUAUUAGAGGUCCCGCCUGCCCUGUGACAGCAGUGUUUAACGGCCGCGGUAUCUUAACCGCGCGAAGGUAGCGUAAUCACUUGUCUUUUAAAUGAAGACCUGUAUGAAUGGCAUAACGAGGGUUUAACUGUCUCCUCCCCCCAGUCAAUGAAAUUGAUCUGUCCGUGCAGAAGCGGACAUAACAACAUAAGACGAGAAGACCCUAUGGAGCUUUAGGCAAAUGAUCAAGCACACCAAACCCUUCUUACAAGCUCGGAGAUUUAAACGCCAAUGAUCAGCCCGCCUUCGGUUGGGGCGACCGCGGAGGAUAAAAGAGCCUCCGAGUGGUAUGGGAAAACCCUUAAGCUAAGAAAAACAAGUCUAGGCAUCAAAAAAUUUGACCAAACAUGACCCAGGAUAAUCCUGAUUGACGAACCAAGUUACCCUAGGGAUAACAGCGCAAUCCCCUCCCAGAGUCCAUAUCGACGAGGGGGUUUACGACCUCGAUGUUGGAUCAGGACAUCCUAAUGGUGCAGCCGCUAUUAAGGGUUCGUUUGUUCAACGAUUAACAGUCCUACGUGAUCUGAGUUCAGACCGGAGUAAUCCAGGUCGGUUUCUAUCUAUGAACGAAUCUACUCCUAGUACGAAAGGACCGGAGUAGAGGGGCCUACAAAAACACGAGCCCCACCUCUACCCUCUGAAAGCAUAUAAAGAGUGUAAUUAGAUCGACACAACUGCCAUAGAUAACGGCAA